rnacentral:rRNA from 1 species
UACAGAGACUGCAAGCGUUAUUCGGAUUCACUGGGCGUAAAGCGCUCGCAGGUGGUCCGAUACGUCGUGCGUGAAAGCCCCCGGCUCAACUGGGGAGUGUCGUGCGAUACGGUCGGACUGGAGGCCAGUAGGGGGAUGCGGAAUUCCGGGUGUAGUGGUGGAAUGCGUAGAGAUCCGGAGGAACACCAGCGGCGAAGGCGGCAUCCUGGACUGGUCCUGACACUCAUGAGCGAAAGCGUGGGGAGCGAUCCGG